UCUCAAGGUUGACCUCGGAUCAGGUAGGAAUACCCGCUGAACUUAAGCAUAUCAAUAAGCGGAGGAAAAGAAACCAACAGGGAUUGCCCCAGUAACGGCGAGUGAAGCGGCAACAGCUCAAAUUUGAAAUCUGGCGCAAGCCCGAGUUGUAAUUUGCAGAGGAUGCUUUUGGCGCGGUGCUUUCUGAGUUCCCUGGAACGGGACGCCGGAGAGGGUGAGAGCCCCGUACAGUUGGACACCAAGCCUUUGUAAAGCUCCUUCGACGAGUCGAGUAGUUUGGGAAUGCUGCUCAAAAUGGGAGGUAAAUGCCUUCUAAAGCUAAAUACCGGCCAGAGACCGAUAGCGCACAAGUAGAGUGAUCGAAAGAUGAAAAGCACUUUGAAAAGAGGGUUAAACAGUACGUGAAAUUGUUGAAAGGGAAGCGCUCGUGACCAGACUUGCGCCCGGCGGAUCAUCCGGCCUUCUGGCCGGUGCACUCCGCCGGGCUCAGGCCAGCAUCGGUUCUUCCGGGGGGACAAAAGCGGCGGGAACGUAGCUCUUCCGGGAGUGUUAUAGCCCGCCGCAGAAUACCCUCGGGGGGACCGAGGACCGCGCUUCGGCAAGGAUGCUGGCGUAAUGGUCACCAGCGACCCGUCUUGAAACACGGACCAAGGAGUCAAGCAUUAGGGCGAGUGUUUGGGUGUCAAACCCGCACGCGAAAUGAAAGUGAACGCAGGUGAGAGCUUCGGCGCAUCAUCGACCGAUCCUGAUGUUUUCGGAUGGAUUUGAGUAAGAGCCUUGCCGCUUGGACCCGAAAGAUGGUGAACUAUGCUUGGAUAGGGUGAAGCCAGAGGAAACUCUGGUGGAGGCUCGCAGCGGUUCUGACGUGCAAAUCGAUCGUCAAAUCUGAGCAUGGGGGCGAAAGAC
rnacentral:rRNA from 1 species